AUGCAGCGAAUGCGACAGCUGAGGCUUAUGCAGGGAAUGCGACAGCUGAGGCUUAUGCAGCGAAUGAUGACAUUUCUUCUAACACUGGGUUAAUGGGGACCACUAUUGACGAUAGCAGCAAUGGAAACAGUACCAGUGAUGACUUCAGCUUCACCACUAUUGGCUCUGGUUUCAGUAAUGCCGAUGACUCUGGCAUCAGCAAUGGUGAGUUGCUAGCUAUAGGGAGACCAUGCUGUUGGUUUGGAAGUGAACAGGCAGCAGUGAAUUGGUAGAAAUAGUAUCGAAGUGAUGGUAUUCAUGGCAUGGCUUGCCUCAUCAAUAUUGGAAGGGGGGCAGGUACAUAGCCUGCUAAUGGCUGUUAACCUGGUUUUCAAGUGUUAGGGCCACUCCUUGCACUGUUUACGGUUUGGUAGCGCUGCCUGCCUAGGCCUCUUGAACCUGCUUUCUAAGCGUAUGCAAUGGAACUGGAAUACUAGCCAGUCCAGCUGCAGCUGAAUACCUUCCAAACCUCACAUAAGCAUUCCUUUCCUGCUCCGGAUCUUUGCCCAUGCUUCUAGUGUCCUCUUUUUGUACUUGCAGCUUCUGACAGUGGAGCUACUGCCACUGCCAUUGCAGGUGAGGGGAGC
rnacentral:lncRNA from 1 species